UAAUACGAAGGGAGCUAGCGUUGUUCGGAAUCACUGGGCGUAAAGCGCGCGUAGGCGGCUUUGCAAGUCAGGGGUGAAAUCCCACAGCUUAACUGUGGAACUGCCUUUGAAACUGCAAGGCUAGAAUGUGAGAAGGGAUGGCGGAAUUCCUAAUGUAGAGGUGAAAUUCGUAGAUAUUAGGAGGAACACCUGUGGCGAAAGCGGCCAUCUGGAUCACAAUUGACGCUGAAGUGCGAAAGCGUGGGUAGCAAACAGGAUUAGAUACCCUGGUAGUCCACGCCAUAAACGAUGAGUGCUAGCCGUCGGGCCCGUAGGGUUCGGUGGCGCCGCUAACGCAUUAAGCACUCCGCCUGGGGAGUACGGUCGCAAGAUUA
rnacentral:rRNA from 1 species